rnacentral:rRNA from 1 species
UACCAGCUCCUCGAGUGGUCGGGACGAUUAUUGGGCCUAAAGCACCCGUAGCCGGUUCCGUAAGUCCUCUGUUAAAUCCAGCCGCUCAACGGCUGGCACGCAGGGGAUACUGCUGGACUAGGAGGCGGGAGAGGCGGACGGUACUCCGCGUGUAGGGGUAAAAUCCUUUGAUCCGCGGAAGACCACCAGAUAGCUAGCGGGCAAACCACUAGCUUGGUGAAUGGCGAAGGCGGUCCGCCAGAACGCGCUCGACGGUGAGGGGUGAAAGCUGGGGGAGCGAACCGG